UACGUAGGGUGCGAGCGUUGUCCGGAAUUAUUGGGCGUAAAGAGCUUGUAGGCGGUCUGUCGCGUCUGCUGUGAAAAUCCGGGGCUCAACCCCGGACUUGCAGUGGGUACGGGCAGACUAGAGUGUGGUAGGGGAGACUGGAAUUCCUGGUGUAGCGGUGAAAUGCGCAGAUAUCAGGAGGAACACCUAUGGCGAAGGCAGGUCUCUGGGCCACUACUGACGCUGAGAAGCGAAAGCAUGGGGAGCGAACAGG
rnacentral:rRNA from 1 species